rnacentral:sRNA from 1 species
GUGAUUAUGAUAUACUAAGUAUUGUAGAAAAAUUAAAAGAUAGUUGGCUAAAUCUCUUGAAAAAGGGGUGAUGCCUUAUGAUUAAUGGAUCUGUCCCUAGAAAGGAAUAGUGUUGUCAGUAUACGAAGCAUUGACACUUGCAAUUAGUUUUGCAAUGUUAGUGAUUGCGGUAUUGGAAUUUAA